UGGGGAAUAUUGCACAAUGGGCGCAAGCCUGAUGCAGCCAUGCCGCGUGUAUGAAGAAGGCCUUCGGGUUGUAAAGUACUUUCAGCGGGGAGGAAGGUGUUGUGGUUAAUAACCACAGCAAUUGACGUUACCCGCAGAAGAAGCACCGGCUAACUCCGUGCCAGCAGCCGCGGUAAUACGGAGGGUGCAAGCGUUAAUCGGAAUUACUGGGCGUAAAGCGCACGCAGGCGGUCUGUCAAGUCGGAUGUGAAAUCCCCGGGCUCAACCUGGGGACUGCAUCCGAAACUGGCAGGCUUGAGUCUUGUAGAGGGGGGUAGAAUUCCAGGUGUAGCGGUGAAAUGCGUAGAGAUCUGGAGGAAUACCGGUGGCGAAGGCGGCCCCCUGGACAAAGACUGACGCUCAGGUGCGAAAGCGUGGGGAGCAAACA
rnacentral:rRNA from 1 species